AUACUUCUGAGGAGUCCUAUACUAGGACGAAAUGGCCAUCUAGUGU
rnacentral:hammerhead_ribozyme from 1 species